rnacentral:rRNA from 1 species
UACAGAGGUCCCAAGCGUUGUUCGGAUUCAUUGGGCGUAAAGGGUGCGUAGGCGGUCUAUUAAGUCAGUGCUGAAAUAUCCCGGCUUAACCGGGAGGGUGGCAUUGAUACUGAUGGACUUGAGUAAAGUUGAGGUAGGCGGAAUUGACGGUGUAGCGGUGAAAUGCUUAGAUAUCGUCAAGAACACCGAUAGUGUAGACAGCUUACUAAGCUUUAACUGACGCUGAGGCACGAAAGUGUGGGGAUCAAACAGG